rnacentral:lncRNA from 1 species
CCCUGGGUGGUCCUGGGAUCAUCAAAUUGCUUUGCCUCAGUCUAUUCAUCUGUAAAAUGGGUUCAAAGAUAUGCCACCUCCUGGCGGGUGGUUGUGGACAAGGAAAGGAGAGAGAAAGAGGCUAGCCUGGAUUGUACCCCACUGUGCUCACUCGAUCAGGGUGUCCUGUUUCUCACAUCGAGGAAACGAGGAAACCCCCAGUUUGUGGACUUGUGAAAUGAAGGGAGAUAGUGGAUACAGACCAAUUCACUCGGAAACUGGUGCUGGCAGCUGGGAUCCUUACAUCAGUUCUGUAAAUAGUAACCCUAAUAAUUACGCCCAGCGCCGGGUCGCAUGAUCCAUCAGUCAGGCCACAUCAGAGCGUGUCAGAGUUUGUCAGGUGUAUCAUUUUUGUUACCUGCAUCAUUCCCCCACACCCCCGGAACAGGUAACACACCCGAAGGGGGUAAUUUCAUGAAGGCACAGCUCCCCUUGAUCCCCUUGAUCCCCUUGAUCCUCCUCUUGAUCCCCUUGGUCAAGCCCCCAGGAGGCCAGAGGGCACAGGUCUGUGCAGUGAUGGAGAGGAUUUGGAGGGACACACGGAAGAUACCUGGCUGCUCAGGCACCUCAAAAUCUGGGACUCCGAUGCCCCCACUUUAUCUCAGGUUUGUGACCAAGAAUGAUAGUUCUGAUCACGGCUGAAGGUAAGUGUGUGAAGGGGAGGACCCGACACAGAAGCCCAUAAGCAAGCUCUAUAGCCACACAGGGUCCCGGCUCUGAGUCUCGCGGAGGACACAGGUGAGCAGACAGGCAGUGGCAAAGUCACCUUGGCAGCGACAUCCCUGGGGGAGCACACACAAGGGCAGUGCUCGCAGCCUUGGGGCAUCCGGGAGUGCUUCCUGGAAGAAGGGAUCCCAACCUGGGAUGGGAAGGAAGAGAGGAGCGAGUCCUGUGAAGAGGACAGAAGAGCAGGGUCUAUGGCCCGCGGGGGGGACACUGUGGCUGUGGAAAGAGAGGGACAGGGGGCUGGAAAGGUGGGCUGGGCCAGGUCACGCAGAGCCUCGGAGGCUGAGGAACUCCGCCUGAGCAAGAGGGAAGCGUGGAAGGCGUGUCCGCAGGCCCCACAUGGAAGUACUCAGACCCACGAAGCAUUUACUGAGCACCUGCUGGGCACAGGUUGCUAUCGGCACUCUACAGAACGCAGGAAGAGUCCAAGAGAUGAGGACUCCCUGGGAGGGUCUAAUCACUCACUGAGGCAGGAAACAGUCUCCCCACAUAGCGCAGAGACGCUCAUCACUGCCUGCACUUCCAGUGGCUGCAGACUGCUGCUCUGAGGCUCCGAGCACAGCAGGUGAGCCGAGAAAGGGGUAUCCUCGCCUCCCAGCACAUGCAUCCACGGCUUUCCCACACCCUCGCAACACACUCUCUGUGUCCUCUUCCAGCUCCAUCUCCAUAUCCUUGGGGUGAGAACAAAUCCCCCUCCCGCCCCCCGCUUGUAACUUCAGGGUUAUGGGCAUCAUUUUGGGCAGAAGUGUGUACGGAGGCUGAUAGAAUCUUCUCUGAUGAGAUCCAGCCAGCCCAAUCCCUCCUCUAUCAGAACGCCUUGUUUACCCAUUAGUGGCUCUUUGGACACUAGCAGCAGACAGGCUGGCUCCAGGGCAUUUAAAAGGUCAAGAAUCAAGGGCCCAGGAAGGCAGUCAGCUGGGAUUCGGAUCAACAAAGUUUCCAAAGAUGAACAUGGUUUUCUAAAUGCACCAGCAACGUGCUCUGUCCCAGAAGAGAAGAAAACCACUGGUCAGAGGUGAUCUUCUCCAGGAAGCAAUCUUUCUCUGCCACCUGAGAUGGCCAGUGAUCCUUGAGUGCCCGCCCUCCAUCGGAAGCACUGGCUAUAUCACUUUGACCUUGGGGAAAUGUUCUGGGAAAAGCUGCUGCCUUGGAGAAACUGAGGCAGUAAAAUCAAAUGAAAAUCUGCCCUGGUGCUGGAUCCCGUGUGGUCCUCGAGAGCAAAGUCUCAUUCCAACCAGGAGGAAUCGUGAGGACUUAAUCGUAACAAGCAGAGCCUUUUAAAAUCCCUUCCGUGCCCUGGGUAUUUCUGCGGAACACGGUCCACAAUACUCCCCUUUAACACAACAACCCAAAGGGGUACGCUCUCUCUUCCCCGUGUUAUAGGUGAGGCUCAAAGAGGAGAAGUUAUCCAGCUAGUUAAGUGGUGGAGUUAGGAUUUGAACCCGGGUCUCUAAAUCUAGGCUGGCCCCAUCCCUAUGCUGAGAGGAAAGAGCCCCAGCCCAGCAGCUGGGAGUGAUCGAGGGGCUGGGGCUGAGAGCUCACGGAGCUCGGACUGGAGGGAAAGGAUGUAUUUGUUCCUUGUUUGUUUUUCCCAGCGCAGUUCGCAGUUUGGGGGAGAGGAGCUCUAACAGGCUGAACUGGUCAGACGGGGGUAACACACGUGGCCCAACUAGAAGGGAGAGGAUGACUCACCACUCGAAUGGUUGUUAGCUGGCAGGAAACACCAUGGGAGAGAAGCUUGUCGGCCAGUAUCUUCGAGGAAGAAACUCCCCUCAUUUUAUAAUGUGGAAACUGAGACCCAGAUGGAAAGCGUCCUGCCCAAAUAUGGACUGGGAUUAUUGGUUUCCUGGUCCCUAGAACACUUCUUUUUCCAGUAACAACCAUAAUAAUAACAAAAGCCGCCAACAUUUUACUAAGUACUUCAUAUGUGUCAAGCUCUGUGCCAAGCAUCACAUCUAUUCCAUUGCAUUACGUUAUAUUACAUUAUAUUAUAAUUGUGAUACAUAUAAUUAUAUAUUAAAACUGUGUGAUCUUGUACAAGUCCCGUAAAUUAUGAGUCUUGGGUGGUGGUUGUUUUUUUUUUUUUUUUAAUCUGUGAAUAGGAGAAACCAGUUAUCGGAGCUGUUAAAUGUUAUACAGAGUUCAUAAAGUAACAUCAAUAAAGUGGAGCGUCUAAAUCAAUAUAAAGGAGGCCUUCCUCCUCCUUGGCUGUAUUUCUUAUCUAUUGCUACAUAACAAAUCGCCACGAACUUAGCACCUUAAAACGUGUUGUACUUACUCUCUCACAAUUUCUGUGCAUCAGGGAUUCAGGCAGAGUUUAGCGGGCUCCUCUCUUGCAGAGUCUCCCACCAG